UGAAAACCCAGGGGGGGUGUGUGUGUGGGAAUCAUAUUGUAAAGGGAUAGAAGUGCGUGGUCAUGUCGUCAUCUUCUUUGCAUUUCUUUACCUGCUCAAUUCCCAAUGUGAGAAAGAGAGAGCAGGGUUGGUCUGGUAAAACUUGGGAGUGAGUGAGUGUCUGAAUGAAAGAAAGAGAUAAACCAGAGAGAGAAAGAGAUGGAAUAAUAAUAUAUUUUAUAUAUCAAACACCCUCUUGUUGUACUUAAUUCCUCAAAUCAAAUGUGGCUGAUUUAUGCUUCAUGGAUCCGUUCUUUCCGCUUCUUCAACAGCAUCCUAUAAGUCUUUCGGCUUUUCUUCUUCAAAAAUAAACUCUCUCCAUCUCUUUCAUAUCUAAGAGACUUAACUUCUUCUGCUGCGUUUACUUUCUGUCAUUGUCACUGUUGAUUUUCUCGUUGCUACAGCCUUUCUUUCUUUUUCUUGAAUCUCGUCUCCACAGAAAGCUAUUGAGAAGAGUAGAUUUUAUACUUCUAGAGAUGGGCAAGGAAUGGUAUUGGUUUGCUGGCAAAUCCUCCAAGAGAGGAAGUGGAGGAGGACUAGAUAAAGACAGUGCAACCACUCCUUCUGGUUGUAUGUGCUCUGUCUUUCAGAUAUUUGAUUUCCAUCAGUUCCAGUUUCCUUCGCACCAGCAGCAGCCUUCAUUAAAGCCCGACUCUUUCCUUCCUCAGCCUGAGCCUGAGGCUGAGAUCUCUAUCUCCAAAGGUGCCGAAGCACCAAGGAAUAGCUUGGAAUCAGACGAACCUUCAUCGCCAACGAUUGAAGCAGAAGAUAAAAGUUUAAAUAUCCCAAUGGGUAUUCAAAUUAAAACAAAUAUUGGAGAUGCAAGUUCAAAAGUACAAGGAGCUCCAAAUGAUUCUUCUUCCUCAGAAAUCAGCUCUUCCCCAAGUACCAAGACCCCAAACUUGGUUGCUAGACUCAUGGGUCUUGAUCUUCUUCCUGAUCAAAGCUACUCUCCAACCUCUUCUUCGUCAACUCUUGGGCCACCAAAUCCUCUAGGGAAGUCUCAUUUACAGCACCAUUGUCGACGUCGGCAGUUUCUCCAAAGCAAAACAAGUAGCCACAGAAGUGGUUUGGACAGUGAUUUUUCAGGCACGCGUUCUUUGCCGGAGACUCCGAGAAUAUCAUCAGCUAGAAGAUCAGAUGUGGAACACCGCUUGUCGCUUCAGAUCAACAAAGAGAGCCUGAGCUCUAAUGAAGAGCUGGUUCUCUCUCGUAUCUCAUCGUUGAAACGCAAAGAGCUCAAAACUGAAGAAGAAAAUAGAAGUCCAGGCCAUUAUGCCAGGGAGAUUGUGAAGCAGGUCAAAGAACGCGUUAGCAGGAAAGUUGGAUUGGACAUUACAAACACGGUAAAAAACAGAGAUCAAGCAAGCAGAGAUGAGCUUAUUAGCCAAUUGAAGUCGAAGAAGGUGAGCAAGGUUCUAACUAAAGUCGCUAAUGAUUCAAGUCCAGGCAAGCAAACAGCUUCUUGCUCACCUAGACUCAAAUUCUUGGAACCCAGGACAAUUUCCAGUGUACCAUCCACCAAGGACCACUGUAUUUCUCAAUCUCUAAAAUCAUCAAUUUCAGCACAUUCACCGGUCAAUAUCAUGCCACAAAAGACCAAAGCUCCAACAAAGCCUAAGUUGCAGCUGGUGCAAGAGCAAGAGUACCACCAGCAGCAGCAACAGAGACCUGUCAAGAAGUGCAAAAAAGUGGCUGAAGAGAGGUUUGGUCCACCACCUAGACUCAAGAAACCUCCGCAAACUUCGGAUAUUAUCCGAAACAAGCAGGAAGAACCAUUUGUGAGUCCAGCAAUAGCAACCAGAGCAAACAUUCCUGACAAGAAAUGCAAGAAAACCCCAUUAUCAAAUGACCUACUUAACAUUACGGUCCCUACCCUCCUUCCAGUCAAGAAAGAUCCUACUCCUCCAGCCACAAAGAUUCCUCAAAAACCGGCACCAAAUGCUCAAGAAUCGAAACGUAUCUCCCCCUUGUCUAGUUGUUCGAGCCAUUCGUACAAACAACAAGAAGCGCCCAAUGCCCGAGGAAGCAACGAAAAGUGCAACAACGGGGACAGGUCUAACGGCGCAGCUGCCACCACCAAAGAUAGAGCAGCAGCAGAAUACGAGUACAUCACUAGAAUACUAAGACGUACUGGCAUAGAUAAGGAUACCCCAGUGUCGUUUACCAGGUGGUUCUCUCCAUCCCAUCCUUUAGAACCUUCAAUUUUUUACUAUCUUGAUCUUGAUUACUUCACCGCUACUUCCCCUGCCUCCACCAGCAGUGAAAGGUACGCAUAUGGUCAACUCAGCCAUAGGUGUAAUAGAAAGUUACUGUUUGACCUUGUGGAUGAAAUAUUGGCGGAGAUUUUAAAGCCUUACAAGAACUUGAAGCCUUGGGCUACCUCAUCAUCAGGCAGUAGAGGUGGUAGAGAAGACGCGCAGGGCUCACAUUUAAUUGAUAUGUUAUAUUCUAAAGUUAGAAGCUUCCCCUGCGCUGACUGUCGCGUUCUUGAAGACAUUGAUGCAUUAGUAGACAAAGACAUGCCACUGUUGAAGCUGCAGACCGAGGUGGCCUUUGGUGGCGAAGGAGAAGGGAUUGUCACGGAGAUAGAGAAGUAUAUAUUGGACUCGAUAAUACAUGAAACGGCUGCGUUUUUUUGUGAUGAUGAGCUGAGGGAGUAGUAGUAUUAAAACGCCAUGGCGUUUUCUAGACGGAGACAGUUUAAAAGACACGGGAAACUCGCGUGAAGAGAUGCUAUUCGUUGGACUAGCUAAUAAUAUCUCCUUUGUAAAGAGGGUUUGAGUCCCACUUCUGAAUAUUAUACAGUAAU
rnacentral:misc_RNA from 1 species